CCCCAGACUCCUACGGGAGGCAGCAGUGGGGGAUAUUGCACAAUGGGGGGAACCCUGAUGCAGCGACGCCGCGUGGGUGAAGGAGCGUUUCGGCGCGUAAAGCCCUAUCGGCAGGGAAGAAGGAGGACGGUACCUGACUAAGAAGCCCCGGCUAACUACGUGCCAGCAGCCGCGGUAAUACGUAGGGGGCAAGCGUUAUCCGGAUUUACUGGGUGUAAAGGGGGCGCAGACGGCAGCGCAAGCCAGGAGUGAAAGCCCGGGGCCCAACCCCGGGACUGCUCUUGGAACUGCGCGGCUGGAGUGCAGGAGGGGCAGGCGGAAUUCCUGGUGUAGCGGUGAAAUGCGUAGAUAUCAGGAGGAACACCAGUGGCGAAGGCGACUUUCUGGACUGUACCUGACGCUGAGGCGCGAAAGCAUGGGGAGCGAACAGGAUUAGAUCCCCCAGUA
rnacentral:rRNA from 1 species